AUGAGCCCCUGCGCGGACGGGCAGAGCCGAACCGGGCGGCCGGACGCAGAGCCGGAGAGCCGGGCCGUGCCCCGGCCGAGACGCCGCGGAGGGCCGCAGCCCCGAUCUCCGCCCGGGGGCGGGGGGGCCCGCCGGUGCCGGCCGCGGGAAGCUGGCACACGGGCCGCCUUUGUUCCGGGCAGGGCGAGCGGCGGCGGCCCCGGGUGGGGAGCGGGGCGGCCGCCCGGCCCAGCCGCCUUUGUGUCGCUCCCCGAGGGCUCCCGGGCGCCGCCAGCGCCCCCGCCAGGGCCGGGCUCCGCCGCCCCACCGGUCCCGCGGGGCGCGGCCGCGCCUGGCACCGGCUCCCGGGCAGGACGGGGCUCCCGGGGCCCGGUACCGACCGGGCCCGGCACGAGAGCGCGGCCAAGCUCCGAUCCGGCCCCGCCGGGCGAGGACCGGACCGGACCGGCCCGCCCCGCCGCGGGGGCGUGCGGCGCCCGGCAGGCGCCGGCCCGCACCGGCUCCGCUUCCUUCCCUCUGCUCCCCCGAGCGGCGGCGCGGACGCCGCGAUCGGUACUCACCGUGGCCGGGCUCCUCGGCGGGCGGGCGGGCGGGCGAGGGGGGGCGGUCCCGCCCCGCGGCGGCGGCACGGCCGCCCGGCCCGCUCCGCGGGUCCCGCCGCGGUGGCGAGGCGAGAGGCGAGGCGGGCGCCCGGUGCGGCGGCGGCGCGGGUCAGGCCGGGUCCCGCCGGGCGGCGCGGGGCGGUGUGCGCGGAGCGCGGGGUCGGUCGGGUCCCGCCGUGCGCCCGCGCCGCUCCCGCACCUAAAAUGGAAGUUGGUCCGGCGGGCGGGGCGGGGCGGGCGAGGGGCCGCCCCCGGCGUCAGCGGCCGCGACGAGGACGGGCGGGACCGGGGCGGGACCGGGGCGGGGCCUGGGCGGCAGUCCCGGUGGGGUCUGUCCCGAGAGCGGUCUGUGCCCCGCGUGCUCCGUGCCGGUGGGGUCUGCCCCAGCGGUGCAUGUUCUCCAAACUGGGGUCUGUCCUCAGACGGGCUCCACCUCGGGGCCAUGCCGCCCCGGGCGCAGACCAGCUCCUCCUCAAGGUCCGGGUCUGCCCCGGCCCGGCAAGGGGCUCUCGGCGACACCCCCGGAGCAGAGCCUCCUCCGGCCUGUCCCUCUGGAGCGGCGGGAGAACAGGUUACCCUGCCCAGGGUGGAACUUGCCCAGAAGCAAGAUUCCAUGGCAGGACGGGCUGCAGUACGUCCCUGGGAGGUCACCCGGUCCUCUCUGGCUCGAGGGAAGAGGUGCUGGCGGGACCCCAGCCACAGCUCAUCGUCAGUGGUGGAGGGGUUCCCCUUCCCUGGGAGGCAAGGAAGUGAUGCCGGGCCAGCCCCAUCGCGCGUUCCGGGCUGCUCCCCUGGGAGAAGUCCAGGUCCCCCGAAGGUGACAGUUUUCUGCCUCGUGCCUGGUCAGGCACCGGGGAGAACCCUGCCUGCUCCUGACUGCAAAACUCUUAGUGAGAUAAUGAUAGAGGAAAAGAGCUGA
rnacentral:lncRNA from 1 species